rnacentral:lncRNA from 1 species
AUUUGGCCCAGUAGUUUCAGAGGAGAAGAUUUUUGUAAAAGAUUACUAAGAUUUACGAAAAAUGGUUAAAAAUUGACUAUAAAGGGCAAUAACUCCUAAAGGGGUCAACUGACCAUUUCGGUCAUGUAGACUUAUUUGUAAAUCUUACUUUGCUGAACAUUAUUGCUGUUUACAGUUUAUCUCUAUCUAUAAUAAUAUUCAAGAUAAUAACCCAAAACAGUAAAAUUUCCUUAAAAUUACCAAUUUAGGGGCAGCAACCCAACAACGGGUUGUUCGAUUCAUCUGAAAAUUUCAGGGCAGAUAGAUCU